ACUUCAGGACGGGGACAACAGUUGGAAACGACUGCUAAUACCCGAUGUGCCGCGAGGUGAAACCUAAUUGGCCUGAAGAAGAGCUUGCGUCUGAUUAGCUAGUUGGUGGGGUAAAGGCCUACCAAGGCGACGAUCAGUAGCUGGUCUGAGAGGAUGAGCAGCCACACUGGGACUGAGACACGGCCCAGACUCCUACGGGAGGCAGCAGUGGGGAAUUUUCCCGCAAUGGGCGAAACCUGACGGAGCAACGCCGCGUGGAGGGAGGAAGGUCUUUGGAUUGUAAACCUCUUUUCUCAAGGAAGAAGUUCUGACGGUACUUGAGGAAUCAGCCUCGGCUAACUCCGUGCCAGCAGCCGCGGUAAUACGGGGGAGGCAAGCGUUAUCCGGAAUUAUUGGGCGUAAAGCGUCCGCAGGUGGUCAGCCAAGUCUGCUGUCAAAUCAGGUUGCUUAACGACCUA
rnacentral:rRNA from 1 species